rnacentral:rRNA from 1 species
CAGUCGCCGCGGUAACACGGAGGGUGCAAGCGUUAUCCGGAUUUAUUGGGUUUAAAGGGUCCGUAGGCGGAUCUGUAAGUCAGUGGUGAAAUCUCACAGCUUAACUGUGAAACUGCCAUUGAUACUGCAGGUCUUGAGUAAAUUUGAAGUGGCUGGAAUAAGUAGUGUAGCGGUGAAAUGCAUAGAUAUUACUUAGAACACCAAUUGCGAAGGCAGGUCACUAAGAUUUAACUGACGCUGAUGGACGAAAGCGUGGGGAGCGAACAGGAUUAGAUACCCGAGUAGUCCCUGUCUCUUAUAC